rnacentral:SRP_RNA from 1 species
GAGUAAGUCUUUCACGACCAGCUCCCCUUUAACCCCCCAGGACAGGAAUGUAGCAAGGGUAUUUGGGUUGAGCGGUGCGAUGAAAGUAGCUUACUCUC